rnacentral:rRNA from 1 species
GACGAACGCUGGCGGUGUGCCUAAUACAUGCAAGUAGAACGCACAGUUUAUACCGUAGCUUGCUACACCAUAGACUGUGAGUUGCGAACGGGUGAGUAACGCGUAGGUAACCUGCCUGGUAGCGGGGGAUAACUAUUGGAAACGAUAGCUAAUACCGCAUAAUAUUGAUUAUUGCAUGAUAAUUGAUUGAAAGAUGCUAUUGCAUCACUACCAGAUGGACCUGCGUUGUAUUAGCUAGUAGGUGAGGUAACGGCUCACCUAGGCGACGAUACAUAGCCGACCUGAGAGGGUGAUCGGCCACACUGGGACUGAGACACGGCCCAGACUCCUACGGGAGGCAGCAGUAGGGAAUCUUCGGCAAUGGACGAAAGUCUGACCGAGCAACGCCGCGUGAGUGAAGAAGGGUUUCGGAUCGUAAAGCUCUGUUGUAAGAGAAGAACGGGUGUGAGAGUGGAAAGUUCACACUGUGACGGUAUCUUACCAGAAAGGGACGGCUAACUACGUG